rnacentral:rRNA from 1 species
AGUGAACGCUGGCGGUAGGCCUAACACAUGCAAGUCGAACGGCAGCACAGUAAGAGCUUGCUCUUACGGGUGGCGAGUGGCGGACGGGUGAGGAAUACAUCGGAAUCUACUUUUUCGUGGGGGCUAACGUAGGGAAACUUACGCUAAUACCGCAUACGACCUACGGGUGAAAGCAGGGGAUCUUCGGACCUUGCGCGAUUGAAUGAGCCGAGGUCGGAUUAGCUAGUUGGCGGGGUAAAGGCCCACCAAGGCGACGAUCCGUAGCUGGUCUGAGAGGAUGAUCAGCCACACUGGAACUGAGACACGGUCCAGACUCCUACGGGAGGCAGCAGUGGGGAAUAUUGGACAAUGGGCGCAAGCCUGAUCCAGCCAUACCGCGUGGGUGAAGAAGGCCUUCGGGUUGUAAAGCCCUUUUGUUGGGAAAGAAAAGCAGCAGGUUAAUACCCCGCUGUUCUGACGGUACCCAAAGAAUAAGCACCGGCUAACUUCGUG